UCUUAUGGAUGAGCAAAUAAAGCGGUUUCUUGAAACAGAAUCUACUCCUGGUGAAGAUGCUGUGAGAA
rnacentral:pre_miRNA from 1 species